rnacentral:rRNA from 1 species
CUAGCUGGUCUGAGAGGAUGACCAGCCACACUGGAACUGAGACACGGUCCAGACUCCUACGGGAGGCAGCAGUGGGGAAUAUUGCACAAUGGGCGCAAGCCUGAUGCAGCCAUGCCGCGUGUAUGAAGAAGGCCUUCGGGUUGUAAAGUACUUUCAGCGGGGAGGAAGGGAGUAAAGUUAAUACCUUUGCUCAUUGACGUUACCCGCAGAAGAAGCACCGGCUAACUCCGUGCCAGCAGCCGCGGUAAUACGGAGGGUGCAAGCGUUAAUCGGAAUUACUGGGCGUAAAGCGCACGCAGGCGGUUUG